GCCUAGGUGGCUGAGUUGGUAAAGUGUCUGACUUCAGCUCAGGUCAUGAUCUCGCGGUUUGGGAGUUUGAGCCCCGCUUCAGGCU
rnacentral:tRNA from 1 species